GUGCUCGCCUUGGCAGCACAUACACUAAAAUGGGAACAAUACGGAGAAGAUGAGCAUGACCCCUAAAGAGUAAAAAAUAAACCAGUAAUGAUGCACUAAUUG
ensembl:snRNA U6 U6 spliceosomal RNA